rnacentral:rRNA from 1 species
UUAAGCGACUAAGCGUACACGGUGGAUGCCCUGGCAGUCAGAGGCGAUGAAGGACGUGCUAAUCUGCGAUAAGCGUCGGUGAGGUGAUAUGAACCGUUAUAACCGGCGAUUUCCGAAUGGGGAAACCCAGUGUGUUUCGACACACUAUCAUUAACUGAAUCCAUAGGUUAAUGAGGCGAACCGGGGGAACUGAAACAUCUAAGUACCCCGAGGAAAAGAAAUCAACCGAGAUUCCCCCAGUAGCGGCGAGCGAACGGGGAGGAGCCCAGAGCCUGAAUCAGUGUGUGUGUUAGUGGAAGCGUCUGGAAAGGCGUGCGAUACAGGGUGACAGCCCCGUACACAAAAAUGCACAUAUUGUGAGCUCGAUGAGUAGGGCGGGACACGUGGUAUCCUGUCUGAAUAUGGGGGGACCAUCCUCCAAGGCUAAAUACUCCUGACUGACCGAUAGUGAACCAGUACCGUGAGGGAAAGGCGAAAAGAACCCCGGCGAGGGGAGUGAAAAAGAACCUGAAACCGUGUACGUACAAGCAGUGGGAGCCUCUUAAUGGGGUGACUGCGUACCUUUUGUAUAAUGGGUCAGCGACUUAUAUUCUGUAGCAAGGUUAACCGAAUAGGGGAGCCGAAGGGAAACCGAGUCUUAACUGGGCGUUAAGUUGCAGGGUAUAGACCCGAAACCCGGUGAUCUAGCCAUGGGCAGGUUGAAGGUUGGGUAACACUAACUGGAGGACCGAACCGACUAAUGUUGAAAAAUUAGCGGAUGACUUGUGGCUGGGGGUGAAAGGCCAAUCAAACCGGGAGAUAGCUGGUUCUCCCCGAAAGCUAUUUAGGUAGCGCCUCGUGAAUUCAUCUCCGGGGGUAGAGCACUGUUUCGGCAAGGGGGUCAUCCCGACUUACCAACCCGAUGCAAACUGCGAAUACCGGAGAAUGUUAUCACGGGAGACACACGGCGGGUGCUAACGUCCGUCGUGAAGAGGGAAACAACCCAGACCGCCAGCUAAGGUCCCAAAGUCAUGGUUAAGUGGGAAACGAUGUGGGAAGGCCCAGACAGCCAGGAUGUUGGCUUAGAAGCAGCCAUCAUUUAAAGAAAGCGUAAUAGCUCACUGGUCGAGUCGGCCUGCGCGGAAGAUGUAACGGGGCUAAACCAUGCACCGAAGCUGCGGCAGCGACGCUUAUGCGUUGUUGGGUAGGGGAGCGUUCUGUAAGCCUGUGAAGGUGUGCUGUGAGGCAUGCUGGAGGUAUCAGAAGUGCGAAUGCUGACAUAAGUAACGAUAAAGCGGGUGAAAAGCCCGCUCGCCGGAAGACCAAGGGUUCCUGUCCAACGUUAAUCGGGGCAGGGUGAGUCGACCCCUAAGGCGAGGCCGAAAGGCGUAGUCGAUGGGAAACAGGUUAAUAUUCCUGUACUUGGUGUUACUGCGAAGGGGGGACGGAGAAGGCUAUGUUGGCCGGGCGACGGUUGUCCCGGUUUAAGCGUGUAGGCUGGUUUUCCAGGCAAAUCCGGAAAACCAAGGCUGAGGCGUGAUGACGAGGCACUACGGUGCUGAAGCGACAAAUGCCCUGCUUCCAGGAAAAGCCUCUAAGCAUCAGGUAACAUCAAAUCGUACCCCAAACCGACACAGGUGGUCAGGUAGAGAAUACCAAGGCGCUUGAGAGAACUCGGGUGAAGGAACUAGGCAAAAUGGUGCCGUAACUUCGGGAGAAGGCACGCUGAUAUGUAGGUGAAGCGACUUGCUCGUGGAGCUGAAAUCAGUCGAAGAUACCAGCUGGCUGCAACUGUUUAUUAAAAACACAGCACUGUGCAAACACGAAAGUGGACGUAUACGGUGUGACGCCUGCCCGGUGCCGGAAGGUUAAUUGAUGGGGUUAGCGGUAACGCGAAGCUCUUGAUCGAAGCCCCGGUAAACGGCGGCCGUAACUAUAACGGUCCUAAGGUAGCGAAAUUCCUUGUCGGGUAAGUUCCGACCUGCACGAAUGGCGUAAUGAUGGCCAGGCUGUCUCCACCCGAGACUCAGUGAAAUUGAACUCGCUGUGAAGAUGCAGUGUACCCGCGGCAAGACGGAAAGACCCCGUGAACCUUUACUAUAGCUUGACACUGAACAUUGAGCCUUGAUGUGUAGGAUAGGUGGGAGGCUUUGAAGUGUGGACGCCAGUCUGCAUGGAGCCGACCUUGAAAUACCACCCUUUAAUGUUUGAUGUUCUAACGUUGGCCCCUAAUCCGGGUUGCGGACAGUGUCUGGUGGGUAGUUUGACUGGGGCGGUCUCCUCCUAAAGAGUAACGGAGGAGCACGAAGGUUGGCUAAUCCUGGUCGGACAUCAGGAGGUUAGUGCAAUGGCAUAAGCCAGCUUGACUGCGAGCGUGACGGCGCGAGCAGGUGCGAAAGCAGGUCAUAGUGAUCCGGUGGUUCUGAAUGGAAGGGCCAUCG